CCUGCUAAAAAUGUUCUAUUUCUUCAAGGUAAGGCUAUGGGAACUGCUAUGAAGAUGAGAGAUUUUCUUAUUUCAUUUGACUUUUAUUGCGUCUUCCGAGUCAUUUCACUUCAUGGGAAAAGGAUUGUGUUUAAUUGAUUGAAGUGAAGCUGAAAUGGAAGGUGAUUUGUUUUCUGGCAUAGGCAAUGGAACCCAGGUAGAUAGCAGGGUUUUGCAAACAGUUCAAAAGAAUUUUAUGCAAGUUCAGGACAUUCUAGAUCAAAACAGGUUGCUAAUCAAUGAAAUAAACCAAAAUCACGAAUCAAAGAUUCCUGAUAACUUGACUCGAAAUGUGGGGUUGAUUAGAGAGCUUAACAAUAACAUUAGAAGGGUGGUUGAUCUUUAUGCCGAUCUUUCCAGCAAUUUCACCAGGUCAAUGGACGCUUCAUCAGAAGGGGAAUCGAGUGGGAUUUUGAAGUCCAAUGGAAAGGGGAAUCAAAAGAGAAUUAGAUCCGGGUAAUUGAUCAAACCAAGCUUUCAUACAGACUCUGUACUUUCUUCAUGGUAGAAUAAGAAGAGGGUUAGAUUUUGAAGGAAAAGAACUUGUUGAGCUUUGUUGAUGAGUGAUUAAGCUUCAGUAUAAUUUUCA
rnacentral:misc_RNA from 1 species